AGCUAGAGCACAAACCGCUGAUGAGUCGUUGCUUACAGGACGACCAGCUUCUUGGUAUUUCUUGAUGAUGGCCACUGUUGUUAAGACUGUGAUCUCCUGUAUUGGCCUUUAGUUGGACCGAGAGAACACUAUUUCCUUGGCAUCAGAGGCUCCAUUGGUACUAACUUUGCAUCACUGGUUCAUGAACGACUAGGACAUGAUAGUAGCCCAAUCGCUACCAACAAAACGAAUACUCCCAACCAACACGGCUCUUUUCAACCAAUUAAGUUGUGCUUCUACUCAAGGCAGAUUGAAGAGAUUGCUUGGCUGAAAAAACAGUUUCAGUAGUUUGACAGAGAGACAAGAGCAAGCUAGUACCUGGAGGCCGUUCUCUGGAGAUAUCAGAGAUAUCUUAUCACUGGUGACACUACUCAACAGGCUGGCUUCUAUCAUACACACCAAGGAUUCAACAUUGGCUGGAAAGUAUGAUUCAGAGCACAAGCCGCUGAGUGAG